CUGAUGUGUUUUUAUAUCAUACAUAUUUAUAACAGUGAUCUUCUCUAGAGCAAUAUCUGUAAUCUGAUAAUAAAUCUGUAUUCUGUAGUUCUGCUGCUUUUACUAAAGCACUGAUGGGAUAUGGAUCUUGGCCUGCAGGGAAAUCGGGAAAUCCUGAUUCAUCUGUGAUCAUCAAGAGGCCAGUCACGCACGCCAGUUGUCCUCCCACAGCCUCAUCAUCCUCAUCGUCCUUGUCAUCCUCAUCCUCAUCCUCAUCAUCCUCAUCGGCCUCAUCAUCCUCUUUGGCCUCAUCAACCUCAUCAUCCUCGUCAUCCUCAUCAUCCUUGUUGUCUUCAUCAUCCUCAUCGGCCUCAUUGGCCUCUUCCGCGUCUUCGGCCUCAUCAUCCUCAUCCUCAUCAUCCUCAUCAUCCUCAUCAUCCUCAUCAUCCUCAUCGGCCUCUUCGGCCUCAUCAUCCUCAUCAUCCUCAUUGGCCUCUUCGGCCUCAUCAUCCUCAUCAUCCUCAUCAGCCUCAUCAUCCUCUUCGGCCUCAUCAACCUCAUCAUCCUCGUCAUCCUCAUCAUCCUUGUUGUCUUCAUCAUCCUCAUCAGCCUCAUUGGCCUCUUCCGCGUCUUCGGCCUCAUCAUCCUCAUCGGCCUCUUCGGCCUCAUCAUCCUCAUCAUCCUCAUCAUCCUCAUCGGCCUCUUCGGCCUCAUCAUCCUCAUCAUCCUCAUCAGCCUCUUCGGCCUCAUCAUCCUCAUCAUCCUCAUCAUCCUCUCCUCAUCAUCCUCAUCAUCCUCAUCAUCCUCCUCAUCCUCAUCAUCCUCAUCAUCCUCAUCAUCCUCAUCAUCUCAUCCUCGUCCUCCUCGUCAUCCUCAUCAUCCUCGUCCUCCUCAUCAUCCUCGUCAUCCUCGGCCUCCUCAUCCUCCUCAUCAGUUCAUCUCCAGAGGUCAUGGACUCUUUACAACAACAACAAAACGCGAGCGCUGACUCCACUUAUUUCAAUAUAUUGACGUUGUGUCCACACGUGUGUUAUCUCCAGUAUGAAAGAUUUUUUAAACCAGAUGAGAUUAAAUGAUGAUGUUGUUGUGAUGGAACCCGACAG
rnacentral:lncRNA from 1 species